CGGACUAAUCCGUUGGCUUUAUAGACCAUGAGGGUUCAAGUCCCUCUACCCCCA
rnacentral:tRNA from 1 species